AGCGAACGCUGGCGGCAGGCUUAACACAUGCAAGUCGAACGGGCAUAGCAAUAUGUCAGCGGCAGACGGGUGAGUAACGCGUGGGAACGUACCUUUUGGUUCGGAACAACACAGGGAAACUUGUGCUAAUACCGGAUAAGCCCUUACGGGGAAAGAUUUAUCGCCGAAAGAUCGGCCCGCGUCUGAUUAGCUAGUUGGUGAGGUAAUGGCUCACCAAGGCGACGAUCAGUGGCUGGUCUGAGAGGAUGAUCAGCCACAUUGGGACUGAGACACGGCCCAAACUCCUACGGGAGGCAGCAGUGGGGAAUAUUGGACAAUGGGCGCAAGCCUGAUCCAGCCAUGCCGCGUGAGUGAUGAAGGCCCUAGGGUUGUAAAGCUCUUUUGUGCGGGAAGAUAAUGACGGUACCGCAAGAAUAAGCCCCGGCUAACUUCGUGCCAGCAGCCGCCGUAA
rnacentral:rRNA from 1 species